GAUGAACGCUGGCGGCGUGCCUAAUACAUGCAAGUCGAGCGAACAGACGAGGAGCUUGCUCCUCUGACGUUAGCGGCGGACGGGUGAGUAACACGUGGAUAACCUACCUAUAAGACUGGGAUAACUUCGGGAAACCGGAGCUAAUACCGGAUAAUAUAUUGAACCACAUUGUUCAAUAGUGAAAGACGGUUUUGCUGUCACUUAUAGAUGGAUCCGCGCCGCAUUAGCUAGUUGGUAAGGUAACGGCUUACCAAGGCAACGAUGCGUAGCCGACCUGAGAGGGUGAUCGGCCACACUGGAACUGAGACACGGUCCAGACUCCUACGGGAGGCAGCAGUAGGGAAUCUUCCGCAAUGGGCGAAAGCCUGACGGAGCAACGCCGCGUGAGUGAUGAAGGUCUUCGGAUCGUAAAACUCUGUUAUUAGGGAAGAACAAAUGUGUAAGUAACUAUGCACGUCUUGACGGUACCUAAUCAGAAAGCCACGGCUAACUACGUG
rnacentral:rRNA from 1 species